rnacentral:rRNA from 1 species
AUGCCUGUUAGCUAUACUACCUUGAGAAACUCCGAUUGGGAGUUCAUUGUUUGCAAAUAUUUGAAAAGAUUUGAUGCUUGGGUAGGUAAUGCUGCCUCCAUGGGAGGGAGACACAGUUUAGUUGACUCUGUUGUCACUCAGAUAUCCUUGUACCAUAUGUCCAUGUGGCUGAUGAACAAAACGUUCAUUGAGAGAUUGGAUAAACAUAGAAGAAGAUUCUUCUGGCAAGGUUGUACCAAAAAAGAGAUACUAUCUUGUGAGAUGGAACAGGAUUUGCAGAUCCAAAGAAAAGGGUGGUCUAGGUAUCAAAGACCUGCGCAAACAGAACAUUAG